CAAUAGCGUAUAUUAAAGUUGUUGCAGUUAAAAAGCUCGUAGUUGGAUUUCUGUUAAAAGCAAGUAGCCCGCUCUUCUGAGUGUUGUGCUCACGUCGUUUUUAACAUUUUUCUGUUUGAUAUAUGGUUUUUGUUUGCUCUUAAUCGAGCGAGCAAAGACUAUAGAACAGAACUUUUACUUUGAGAAAAUUAGAGUGUUCUAAGCAGGCUAGUGCCUUGAAUACUGCAGCAUGGAAUAAUAAUAUAGGAUUUCAAUUCUACUUUAUUGGUUCUAAGGAUUGAAAUAAUGAUUAAUAGGGACAGUUGGGGGCAUUCGUAUUUAACUGUCAGAGGUGAAAUUCUUAGAUUUGUUAAAGACGAACUACUGCGAAAGCAUUUGCCAAGGAUGUUUNCAUUA
rnacentral:rRNA from 1 species